GCCCCCGGGAGCCGCCUGCGCUGUGGGGCGGGGAGGGCCCGAGCCCCCGCGGCCGGUGCGGGAGGAUCCUCGCGCUCUCCUUUCUCCAAGGGAGGGAGACGGAGAGGGGAAACGGAGAGUCAGCUGGAAGUGGAUGGACAGGAGACUCGCCCCUCACUGAGAUGGAGACGGAGAGGGGGAGUGCGGGGUUUGGUUCCUCCCCAGCGCUGACCCCAGUCAACGACUAGCUUCAUCUGUGAGGCGAUCCCAGGAAUCAAGCGAGGGAGAGUUCCUUGGUCACCUGGAGAGAAAAAAAGAGGGCCCAACUUCAUCAGUGAUGUGUCUGCACCAUGGUGGGGUUCAAGGACCACCUUCAUGUCACUAAGAAUGAUCUUGAUGACUCUGUGAAUCUGCCUGCCACAGAGAAGAGAUGCAGACACAGAGAGGACACUGUGUGAUGACGGAGGCAGAGAUUAGAGUGAUGUGUCUACAAGCCGAGGAGUGCCAAGGAUUGCCAGCGGACACCAGAAGCUAGGAUGGAGCAAGGAAGGACGCUCCCCUGGUGCCUCAGAGGGAGCAUGGCCCUACUGACACUUUGAUUUUGGACUUGUAGCCUCCAGAACCAUGGGAGAAUAAAUUUCUGUUUUUUGAGCCACCUAGUUUGUUGUAUUUUGCUAUGGCAGCCUUGGGAAACAAAUACAACAUCCCAUAAUUACACAUUAUGCUUGAGUUGAAAUUAUUUGCUUUCUUGCCAUCUCCUACCCCCAAUAGCUCCGUAAAGAAAGAAACUUUGUCUUAUUCUACUCGUUAACCCCAGUACAACAUCUGGCACAUGUAGGCACUCAUAAAUGAUUGUUAAACUUAAAUGCUAUAGUGUCAAUGAUCAUUGAUGACUUUUCCCAAACCCAAAGUUGUUAAUCAGUUUAUACUUGACAGUGAAAAGACAAUUUUGCAUAUUAUUGAACAUUCCAAAUUGUAAUGUCUUCUCAGUGAAAAAUCUAUAAGCAUCUUCAGACAUCUCUGAUUUGCAGGCCCUUUGUCUUAUCUCAUUUAGUUAACAAUUUCACAUGAGCAUUUGGUUUAAAGGCCACAAAGGAGGUAGCACAGCAGAGUGGUCAAGAGCUUGGACUGUGAAGUCAAAGGAACUUGCAUUUGAAUCCUGACUUCACCUUUUUUUUAGUCCUCUGACUUUGGGCAAAUUAUUUAACCUUUAAAGCAUGUUAUUUUCAUUAUAGAACAGUUGAGAAGAUUAGAUCAUAUAACACAUGUAAAGUGCAUAGCAUGGUCCCUGGCAUUUGGUACUCAAUAAAUGUUAGUGAUUAUUGCUGUUAAGAAAUCACACAAUGGGGGCUGGCCCCUGGCCGAGUGGUUAAGUUCACGUGCUCUUCUUCGGAGGCCCAGGGUUUCG